UCCAUGACUUCGUUGUCACACAAGAGUUUUUAUUGUUAAUAUUCCUAAAAUUGUUGAGAUGUGCAAGAAAAAGUAUUCCCAACGAAAAAGCGCCAUGGUAUUCCUCGGUGUGAUUGCAGCGUUCAUUCCGAUCGUAAUUGCACCUUACCAAAUAGGUAUUUUAAUGACAACGCCAAUUUUAUAAACUUGUGAUUACAUUCGGCAUUUUAGUUUUGUGGGCGCUACUUCUGAUGCCACCCAUUUACAUAAUCUAUAAGAAAAAGAAAUACAUUGGACUUUUGCUGCGAUAUUCAUUAGUAUGGUUAGCUUUAAGUCUCCUUAUCUUCCUUUACUUCUUUUUAAAUUCGCUUCCGGUUUUGGCCUUAUCUGGCGGUGGGAGUAACGCUUGUUUUUUUACGCUGACUGGUUCCGUGCUUGCGUUCUGCGUUCAACUGAGAUAUCAUAUUUAUAUGAAAAAGAAAAUGGAUGCUGAGGAUGCUGAAAAUGCUGAAUAAAUUAAUUAAAAA